GGUUCUCGUACAUAUAUAUGUUUAUGCUCCCUCAGUGGAGCCCACAUCAUCUGAUCUUACAUCAAUCUCAUUACCUUCCUUGAGCUCAAAGCCAAUGGAAUUUCCCCUGUUCUUGGAAGGACAAGACACAACAAGAUCAGCUUAUGCCGCUUUUCUACUAAAUAAGGAUUUGGAGCAGCUCUUGAAUUUUAUUGGUGUUGAAAGUUUAGGGCCACGGCACGUGCUGGCUAAUCUGAAAGAGCUGCUAAACAGUAUCUUCUCUCCAGAUUACAUCAAUUUAUAACCAACGUUUUCUUUUCUGUACAUGUUUUUUUUACACGGUGCUUGUUUUUCCCGGUAAUGGAGCACCUGCAGACUGACUUAUAUUAUUGAAAAUGUAUGUAUGUGUAUUUAGGGCAUGUCUUGAUGUGAAGAAUUUUUCUUGUCAUUCAAAAUAGCAAAUACAUGAUAGGGAUGUUUGCUGUUGAUUGAGAGAGAUUCUUUUCUUGGUU